GACGCAAGCCUGCGCUGAAAACGUUCGGGAUCGGCCCCCUCUUCCCCUUUCGAGGCUUCUCCUCUCAAAAUCGCGAAAGGCUUGCUGCGGCGAGAGCUUAGGGUUCGUUGUUUGUGUUGGUUCUCUUAUCUCUACUUCUAUAUGUAUUCAAUAUAGUCUCUUUGUUCUCGGCGAGUCGGCGUUGGCUCGACUGCUCGGUAUUCUUGCUUGGUCGCUUGAUACCAAACAGGGGUUGGCUCGACUGCUCGGUAUUAUCUUGCUACCAACAGCCGCUUACCUGAUUUAGCCACCACAGAACUACCUGGUUUCAUUUCUUCAUUGAUUUCCUUUUGACUGGAGCAAAGUUCGUCCCCUUUCUUCCUGUUGGUUUCAGCAGCAAUAGGAUAUUUGGUUUGGUCAGAUCCGUCUAUUCUUUCGUAAUGAUCUAUACUGCAAUCGAUAACUUCUACCUCACUGAUGAAGAUCUGAAAAAUUCUCCUUCGAGGAAAGAUGACAUUCAAGAGGACACGGAGAUAAUGUUACGCAUCUACGGGUGCGAUCUCAUUCAGGAGAGCGGCAUUCUUCUCAGAUUACCUCAAGCAGUCAUGGCCACAGGGCAGGUCCUUUUCCACCGGUUCUACUGCAAAAAGUCUUUUGCGCGCUUCAGUGUGAAGAGGGUAGCAGCUAGCUGUGUUUGGUUGGCUUCGAAGCUCGAAGAGAGCCCUAGAAAAGCAAAGUAUAUUCUUAUGGUCUUUCACCGGAUGGAGUGUAGAAGAGAGGGUUUACCGAUAGAGCAUCUUGAUGUCAUGUCCAAGAAAUACUCAGACUUGAAGAACGAUUUAAUUAGAACGGAGAGACAUUUGCUGAAGGAGAUGGGUUUUAUCUGCCAUGUAGAACAUCCUCACAAGUUCAUAUCCAAUUACCUAGCAACACUUGGAGCUCCUCUUGAACUUAGGCAGGAAGCUUGGAACCUUGCAAAUGAUAGUUUGAGAACAACUUUGUGCGUUCGCUUUAAGAGUGAAGUCGUAGCUUGCGGGGUAGUAUACGCUGCAGCACGUAGGUUCCAGGUUCCUCUCCCGGAAAAUCCACCUUGGUGGCUUGUAUUCGAUGCCGAUCAAUCUGGAAUUCAGGAAGUUUGUAGAGUGCUCGCUCAUCUCUACAGUCUCCCCAAGGCAAAAUAUGUCCCAGUGUAUAAAGAUAUCGAUUCUUUUACAUCAAUUAGCCGAGUGCCAAACUCACAAUCUCAUGUUUCCAAGGAAAACUCUUUUAACGGUAAUGCUAAUGACUCUAGCCCUCCUAAGUCAGUAAAUAGUCAGGAUGGUAGCUGCUUUAAAGAUUCAAUAAUAAAAGCAGCUCUAGAUAAGUUGAAAGAAUCCAAGAAGAGCGAUGAGGAUGGUAAAACAGUGCCUGAUACUAAAGAGGAGGAGACUGAAAGUUUAAGGAGUGAGCUUAAAUCGGAUCGUAAUGGGGAGAAGAAUCGUGAAAGAGAUCGAGAAAGGUUGAGAGCGAGAGAACGGGAUCGUGACAGCAGGGGUAGGGACUCAGAUCGUGAGAGUAGGGGCAGGGACUCGGACCGGGAGAAGGAGAGGAGUCAUCGCUCUAAAGACAAAAGCUCAGGGAAUUCAGAUAAACCAAGGCAUCAUUCGUCCCGCGAUAGAAGUGAGUAUCACAGUUCGCACUCCUCCAGAGACAAGGAUCGUCACAGGCAUCAUAGUACAUACUCCUGAAGUUGAAGUUUUGCUCCACUUGAAGGCUUCUGUAUUAUUAGAAUUUGGCAGCUAUAAAGGAUAAGAAGGUCUCCACAAUGGGUUCACUCAGGAAAGCUGUUCAAAGAGCUCUCGACCAACCGAGGGAAUUUCAGCCUACCGAAUGACGAUCAACUGACUAGGUUGUACAGUUACAAAUACAAAGCGGUGCCAACAAUAAUUUUGAAUACGAAGCGGUGCGAACGAUGGUGAUCAAGACCAAAAGAUCCAAAAAUCAGUUACAAAUAGGUAAACGUGUAAUGGUUAAUAAAUCACAUGUAACGUUCCUAUUUAAUUAGAGACAAAACAUGUUAUUUACCAGGCUU